rnacentral:lncRNA from 1 species
CUUGAUGAAGUUAGUAAUGUCGUAUAUCAAGCAUCAAAAAUCACAAAAUACAUAUACUACCAUUGCUACCCAUUGCAUUUGAUGAGAAAAUUUACUGGAAGAAAGGAAAUACUUCGACCCGCUCCUACUCAUUUUGCUACUAACUUUAUUGCUUUACAAGGCAUAUUGGCCCAAAAGGAUCCGUUAAGAGCAAUGGCGACAUCUAAAAAAUGGACUUUAUCAGCAUAUGCAAAGGAAGGUAAAGGAAAGAGAAUUGUUGAUGACGUACUUGAUUCUGUGUUUUGGAAAGAGUGUGCUACUAUUGUGCAUCUUACUGAGCCCCUCGUUCGUGUUUUACGAUUGUUGAUAGUGAUGAAAAGCCUUCGAUAGGCUACUUGUAUCAAGCUAUUCAUGUGGCAAAAAGUGAGAUGGAGCGCAUGUUUCAAAGAAAGAAGAAUAGAGUGGCUCCUUACUUGCAAAUUAUUCAGAAUUGAUGGGAUAGUCAAUUACAUAAAAAUCUUCAUGCCGCUAGGUAUUGGUGAAACCCUUCUUUCCAAUACAAUAAUCCUGAUAUGGAAAAUUAUAGACAAACUAUUUCAAGACUUUUAGAUGUAAUCGAGAGAUAUGCUUAGGGUCAACCUGAUUUAAGAAGCAAAUUGACUAGUGAAAUGAGAUUAUUUAGGCAAGCACAUGGUGACU